GAUGAACGCUUGCGGCGUGCCUAAUACAUGCAAGUCGAGCGAACAGAUAAGGAGCUUGCUCCUUUGACGUUAGCGGCGGACGGGUGAGUAACACGUGGGUAACCUACCUAUAAGACUGGGAUAACUUCGGGAAACCGGAGCUAAUACCGGAUAAUAUUUCGAACCGCAUGGUUCGAUAGUGAAAGAUGGUUUUGCUAUCACUUAUAGAUGGACCCGCGCCGUAUUAGCUAGUUGGUAAGGUAACGGCUUACCAAGGCGACGAUACGUAGCCGACCUGAGAGGGUGAUCGGCCACACUGGAACUGAGACACGGUCCAGACUCCUACGGGAGGCAGCAGUAGGGAAUCUUCCGCAAUGGGCGAAAGCCUGACGGAGCAACGCCGCGUGAGUGAUGAAGGUCUUCGGAUCGUAAAACUCUGUUAUUAGGGAAGAACAUACGUGUAAGUAACUGUGCAUGUCUUGACGGUACCUAAUCAGAAAGCCACGGCUAACUACGUGCCAGCAGCCGCGGUAAUACGUAGGUGGCAAGCGUUAUCCGGAAUUAUUGGGCGUAAAGCGCGCGUAGGCGGUUUUUUAAGUCUGAUGUGAAAGCCCACGGCUCAACCGUGGAGGGUCAUUGGAAACUGUAAAACUUGAGUGCAGAAGAGGAAAGUGGAAUUCCAUGUGUAGCGGUGAAAUGCGCAGAGAUAUGGAGGAACACCAGUGGCGAAGGCGACUUUCUGGUCUGUAACUGACGCUGAUGUGCGAAAGCGUGGGGAUCAAACAGGAUUAGAUACCCUGGCAGUCCACGCCGUAAACGAUGAGUGCUAAGUGUUAGGGGGUUUCCGCCCCUUAGUGCUGCAGCUAACGCAUUAAGCACUCCGCCUGGGGAGUACGACCGCAAGGUUGAAACUCAAAGGAAUUGACGGGGACCCGCACAAGCGGUGGAGCAUGUGGUUUAAUUCGAAGCAACGCGAAGAACCUUACCAAAUCUUGACAUCCUUUGACAACUCUAGAGAUAGAGCUUUCCCCUUCGGGGGACAAAGUGACAGGUGGUGCAUGGUUGUCGUCAGCUCGUGUCGUGAGAUGUUGGGUUAAGUCCCGCAACGAGCGCAACCCUUAAGCUUAGUUGCCAUCAUUAAGUUGGGCACUCUAAGUUGACUGCCGGUGACAAACCGGAGGAAGGUGGGGAUGACGUCAAAUCAUCAUGCCCCUUAUGAUUUGGGCUACACACGUGCUACAAUGGACAAUACAAAGGGCAGCGAAACCGCGAGGUCAAGCAAAUCCCAUAAAGUUGUUCUCAGUUCGGAUUGUAGUCUGCAACUCGACUACAUGAAGCUGGAAUCGCUAGUAAUCGUAGAUCAGCAUGCUACGGUGAAUACGUUCCCGGGUCU
rnacentral:rRNA from 1 species